ensembl:snRNA U6 U6 spliceosomal RNA
UUGUUCUCACUUUGGCAACACAUGCACUAAAAUUGGAAUGAUACAGAGAAAAUUAGCAUGGCCCCUAUGCAAGGAUCACACAGAUAUUUGUGUUUAUAUAUUUUU